GGCUAUAAAAGUGUUAGGAGACACGGUGGCACCACACAGACAUAAUCCUGCGCUACCUUGGAUAAUACAUCGCCAUCUUCAAGUGAGAUUAAAACUCCUGAUCAUUCUCUGAAUCAUGGCAUCCAAGCUCUUACUCGUCCUCGCCUUCGCUUCCAUCGCUCUCAUUCUGGUGGCAUCAGCUGCUGAUGAAUUCGACGUCGAGGUGGUGAAUGAUGACGGGUAUAAGCGAGAUCCCGACCUCAUCAUCGGAAUGGAGGAUAUGUCAAAGAGAGGGAAGAGUAAGGAAGGACGCCCAUUCGUUUUUCCUUACGGAUGGAGAUACGGUGGAAAGAAGUAAUAUCAUAAAACACGCAACUGCAUAUGAUCGUAUCAGCAGAUCCUGACUGGAAUGGUGAUUUAUUAAUUUCCCGAUGCCUAUUUUUUGCUUUGGACACCAUUCACCGACCUUCAGUUUAUUUUCAUCUUGUCAUGCUCACAUUUAUUCCAAUGUCCGGCAACAUACACAUUAUAGUGUACUGUAUCAAUACCAAGUUUUCUCAAUCGCGACGGGGACUGAUUCUACAACAAAAGCUCUUCAUGACAAAGCAGUCUUUGUCGAAAAUUAAAACAGCAGUCUCAUCUUGGAAACUGGACAAAUGAUAUAUUUGCCAUUUUUGGUCAGCUCAGAAUGUUUCGAUCAGCUGUCCAGGUUCACCAAUCUUCGACAAAGACCUCUGAACGGUUCAUUGUGAUUUGACAGGCAAUCAAUAGAUUCUAAACGUUGCAGAAAGCGUCUGCGUAAUGUUGCGAAAACUUGCCAAUGUCGCAGGCACACGAAUGAAACCAACUCCAACUUGACCAAUUAUAUCUUAUUGAAAACAUCGUAUUACUUUGUUGAUCGAUCUGGGCCCCGUCUCACAAAUAGUUACGAUUGAUCAAAUCAAUCUUGACUACAUGGAAAUACAUCCAUGCCAUAAUUUUUCUUCAUUGUAAACAAAGAGAAUCACACUGAAUUUUCACGAGAAUGAUGAAUGUAUGAGAACAUACAUCACAUCUCGUAAAUAUUUUGAACAAACUUUCAUUUUGGAGUGAUGCUGAUCGGAUCAAUUGCAACUAUUUGUAAAACGGGGUCCUAGGUGUGGGUCUGAUUUUUGUGAUUGUACAUAAAUGUUCUUGACUGACACAACUUCAACAACAACGAUCUUCCAAAGAAUAUAAGACUUCACGCAGAGCUAGAUGCAUGUUUGUGUUUAUUUCCCAUUAUGUAAAGGGCUAAUGCUCCAUAUCGCUUGCAUAGUUUUUUUAAGUGUAGGCCUACUAUUUCUGGUUAGCAGAGUGAGGUUUUAGGCCCAUACAACUGAUAAAACUUAAAAUCCUACACAGCGACAGAGUGCUGGUCAUGUAGAAUAAACAUAUUCAUGAUAUUUUUAGUGAAAUCCUUCCGUCAAAAUCAGAAGCUGACACAAACAAUUAGAUUACGAUGAAAUGCUUAGUGAUCUUGGUUAUUCUAAUGAUUUUGAAUGAUAUUUGAAUAACACAAUUUAUCAAAUUCAUAUUAAACGCUCAUUACACAUAUUGCAUUAGGCAGUCCUACAAAAUGGACUGAUAAAUAGCACUGUGCUGCCGACUGUAAUUCAAAUUGGUAAGGAAACAUACAGAAUAGGCUAUUUAUUUAUUUAACUAUUUAUGUAACGAUUGGUAUUAUUGUUACAGACAAUGUCAUUCUCUUGGCUUCCAAGUUUUGCCUUAAACACGUCGAGAGAAAAUGAAUUAAAGAGGUAAGAGUUAUUAGUAACCAUGGUAACAUAUCUGAAGAAAUGGUUUCAUUGAUGUUUACAUUGCAAGUUCAAUCAUCCAAUUUAAUCAAUGUGUUUAUUAGUCACUCAAUAUGGGGUAUUAGUUAAGAUGUUUAUUUCUUUAUGUUGAAGACGAAUAAAAAAAUCAAUAAAUCCCUUA